rnacentral:rRNA from 1 species
GAUGAACGCUGGCGGCGUGCCUAAUACAUGCAAGUCGAGCGAACAGAUAAGGAGCUUGCUCCUUUGACGUUAGCGGCGGACGGGUGAGUAACACGUGGGUCACCUACCUAUAAGACUGGGAUAACUUCGGGAAACCGGAGCUAAUACCGGAUAAUAUUUCGACCCGCAUGGUUCGAUAGUGAAAGAUGGUUUUGCUACUACUUAUUGAUGGACCCGCGUCUUAUCAGCUAGUUGGUAGGUUAACGGCUUACCAAGGCGACGCUACGUAGCCGACCUGAGAGGGGGUCGGCCACCACGGGAACGGGACCACGGUCCAGCCCCUUCCGGGAGGCACCAGAGGGGAACUUUCGGCAUGGGGCGAAGGCCGGACGGAGCACGCCGGCGGGGGGGAGGAAGGUCUCCGGAUCUUAAGACUCUUUUAAUGGGGAAGACCAGACGGGGAAGGAACAGUGCACGUCUUGACGGUACCUAAUCAGAAAGCCACGGCUAACUACGUG